UCAGACGAUGCGUCAUGCAUAUCAAUAAGCGGAGGAAAAGAAACUAACAAGGAUUCCCCUAGUAACGGCGAGUGAAGCGGGAAGAGCUCAAAUUUGAAAUCUUAAAGGGUUUCCCUUUACGAAUUGUAGUUUAAAGAAGUGGUUUUCUGUUGAGGUUUUGGUAAAAGUUCUUUGGAAUAGGACAUCAUAGAGGGUGAGAAUCCCGUAUUUGACCUUUACUUUCAACUUUGUGAUACACUUUCAAAGAGUCGGAUUGUUUGGGAAUGCAGUCCAAAAUGGGUGGUAAAUUUCAUCUAAAGCUAAAUAUUGGCGAGAGACCGAUAGCGAACAAGUACCGUGAGGGAAAGAUGAAAAGAACUUUGAAAAGAGAGUUAAACAGUACGUGAAAUUGUCAAAAGGGAAGCGUUUGACACCAGUGUUGUUUUUCUGAAAAUCAAUUAAAGAACUGUUUAUGCUAAGCUGUUUAGACUUUAUCAGCUAAUCUGUUUAGUUUUGAGCUUUUCUUUAAUGCACUUUUCAGUUAACAAGUCAACAUCAAUUUCUUUUGCUGUAAAAAAGCUUGAGGAAGGUGGCUUGAGAUUCGUCUUAAGUGUUUAUAGCCUCUUGCCUAUGCAGUCGGAGAGAUUGAGGUCUGCAGCGUAGAUCCUUCGGGGCUAAAUGCAUUUGUGCUAAGUUAUAGCAUUUUAUAGACAACUUGUUGACUAUGAUUUGUCUUGUAGCUUACUCGCUUAUGUUAUUUUACCUACGCUUAGGAUGUUGACACACGCGCGUGCUCG
rnacentral:rRNA from 1 species